rnacentral:rRNA from 1 species
UACAGAGGUCCCAAGCGUUGUUCGGAUUCACUGGGCGUAAAGGGUGCGUAGGCGGUUGGGUAAGUCUGAUGUGAAAUCUCACAGCUUAACUGUGAAACUGCAUUGGAUACUAUCCGGCUAGAGGAAUGGAGGGGAGACUGGAAUACUUGGUGUAGCAGUGAAAUGCGUAGAUAUCAAGUGGAACACCAGUGGCGAAGGCGGCUCACUGGUCCGGUACUGACGCUGAGGUGCGAAAGCGUGGGGAGCAAACAGG